CCAGCUCCAAUAGCGUAUAUUAAAGUUGUUGCAGUUAAAAAGCUCGUAGUUGAAGCUCUGUCGUUCGGACUCGUGCGCUUCGGCAAAGGAGUCUGCGCGACAUCCAUCUGAGCAACGGCCCUGGCAUUCAUUUGUCGCGGUCGGGAUCAGAUACUUUACCUUGAGCAAAUUAGAGUGUUCCAGGCAGGCUUUGGCCUGAAUAGUCCAGCAUGGAAUAAUAGAAGAGGACUGAGUGUCAUUUAUUGGUGUUAUGGCAUUUAGUAAUGAUUAAUAGGGAUAGUUGGGGGCAUUCGUACUUAAUUGUCAGAGGUGAAAUUCUAUGAUUUAUUAAAGACGAACUUAUGCGAAAGCAUUUGCCAAGGAUGUUUUCAUUAAUCAAGAACGAAAGUUAAGGGAUCAAAGACGAUCAGAUACCGUCGUAGUCCUAACUAUAAACUAUGCCGACUAGAGAUUGGAGGUGCAACUCAAGUACUCCUUCAGCAUCUUCCGAGAAAUCAAAGUCUUUGGGUUCUGGGGGAAGUAUGGUCGCAAGACUGAAACUUAAAGGAAUUGACGGAAGGGCACCACCAGGAGUGGAGCCUGCGGCUUAAUUCGACUCAAC
rnacentral:rRNA from 1 species